rnacentral:rRNA from 1 species
UACGGAGGGUGCAAGCGUUAUCCGGAUUCACUGGGUUUAAAGGGUGCGUAGGUGGGUUGGUAAGUCAGUGGUGAAAUCUCCAGGCUUAACUUGGAAACUGCCAUUGAUACUAUCAAUCUUGAAUACCGUGGAGGUCAGCGGAAUAUGUCAUGUAGCGGUGAAAUGCUUAGAUAAUGACAUAGAACACCAAUUGCGAAGGCAGCUGGCU